rnacentral:rRNA from 1 species
UACGGAGGGUGCAAGCGUUAUCCGGAUUCACUGGGUUUAAAGGGUGCGUAGGCGGUCAGCACAAGUCAGUUGUGAAAUCUCCGGGCUUAACUCGGAAAGGUCAACUGAUACUGUGCGACUAGAGUGCGGAAGGGGCAACUGGAAUUCUCGGUGUAGCGGUGAAAUGCGUAGAUAUCGAGAGGAACACCUGCGGCGAAGGCGGGUUGCUGGGCCGACACUGACGCUGAUGCGCGAAAGCGUGGGGAGCGAACAGG